GCUCCCGUGUUGCAGUCGUUAGCAAGCCUGUUUCCGGAUUUAUGAUAAAUCUCAACGCAGGAGGUCUCGGGUUCAAAUCCCGACUGGAGUU